GCCAUCAUUUAAAGAAAGCGUAAUAGCUCACUGGUCGAGUCGGCCUGCGCGGAAGAUGUAACGGGGCUAAACCAUGCACCGAAGCUGCGGCAGCGACACUAUGUGUUGUUGGGUAGGGGAGCGUUCUGUAAGCCUGCGAAGGUGUGCUGUGAGGCAUGCUGGAGGUAUCAGAAGUGCGAAUGCUGACAUAAGUAACGAUAAAGCGGGUGAAAAGCCCGCUCGCCGGAAGACCAAGGGUUCCUGUCCAACGUUAAUCGGGGCAGGGUGAGUCGACCCCUAAGGCGAGGCCGAAAGGCGUAGUCGAUGGGAAACAGGUUAAUAUUCCUGUACUUGGUGUUACUGCGAAGGGGGGACGGAGAAGGCUAUGUUAGCCGGGCGACGGUUGUCCCGGUUUAAGCAUGUAGGCUGAUUGUCCAGGCAAAUCCGGAUAAUCAAGGCUGAGGUGUGAUGACGAGGCACUACGGUGCUGAAGUAACAAAUGCCCUGCUUCCAGGAAAAGCCUCUAAGCAUCAGGUAACAUCAAAUCGUACCCCAAACCGACACAGGUGGUCAGGUA
rnacentral:rRNA from 1 species